CAUUACCGAGUUUACAACUCCCAAACCCCUGUGAACAUACCAAUUGUUGCCUCGGCGGAUCAGCCCGCUCCCGGUAAAACGGGACGGCCCGCCAGAGGACCCCCAAACUCUGUUUCUAUAUGUAACUUCUGAGUAAAACCAUAAAUAAAUCAAAACUUUCAACAACGGAUCUCUUGGUUCUGGCAUCGAUGAAGAACGCAGCAAAAUGCGAUAAGUAAUGUGAAUUGCAGAAUUCAGUGAAUCAUCGAAUCUUUGAACGCACAUUGCGCCCGCCAGUAUUCUGGCGGGCAUGCCUGUUCGAGCGUCAUUUCAACCCUCAAGCCCAGCUUGGUGUUGGGACUCGCGAGUCAAAUCGCGUUCCCCAAAUUGAUUGGCGGUCACGUCGAGCUUCCAUAGCGUAGUAGUAAAACCCUCGUUACUGGUAAUCGUCGCGGCCACGCCGUUAAACCCCAACUUCUGAAUGUUGACCUCGGAUCAGGUAGGAAUACCCGCUGAACUUAAGCAUAUCAAUAAGCGGAGGAAAAGAAACCAACAGGGAUUGCCCUAGUAACGGCGAGUGAAGCGGCAACAGCUCAAAUUUGAAAUCUGGCUCUCGGGCCCGAGUUGUAAUUUGUAGAGGAUACUUUUGAUGCGGUGCCUUCCGAGUUCCCUGGAACGGGACGCCAUAGAGGGUGAGAGCCCCGUCUGGUUGGAUGCCAAAUCUCUGUAAAGUUCCUUCGACGAGUCGAGUAGUUUGGGAAUGCUGCUCUAAAUGGGAGGUAUAUGUCUUCUAAAGCUAAAUACCGGCCAGAGACCGAUAGCGCACAAGUAGAGUGAUCGAAAGAUGAAAAGCACUUUGAAAAGAGAGUUAAAAAGUACGUGAAAUUGUUGAAAGGGAAGCGUUUAUGACCAGACUUGGGCUUGGUUAAUCAUCUGGGGUUCUCCCCAGUGCACUUUUCCAGUCCAGGCCAGCAUCAGUUUUCCCCGGGGGAUAAAGACUUCGGGAAUGUGGCUCUCUUCGGGGAGUGUUAUAGCCCGUUGUGUAAUACCCUGGGGGGGACUGAGG
rnacentral:rRNA from 1 species